UUUAAUAAGCUGCGAUGUGAGAAGUACCAAGUUUUCUCUGACCUAGUGGUUCUGGAGAAUACUUGGACAUAGGAACUGGUUAAAUUCUGUGUGUACCGCAGCAUGAGAGUAAUUCGGGAAUGAGAUGAGAGGAAAGAUGUUGGGCGAAUUACAACUAAAUAUAUGUGGCGAGCAGGACAAAAUGCGCUUUGCCAUAAUGCCAAAAUCGAGGGAGGAUGUCUGCAAAAUGGGGAUGAGCUAAAAAAUUCUUUAUCAUAGAGGAAGUACUAAUGUGGUAAGUUAUAUGUUUGUUAUUUCUGUUCCUUUUUGGGUUUUUAAUUUCUGAUUUCUUUGACUCAUGGGUGCUAAACGAGCGAUACCGACUCUGGAUGAGUAACUGAGUUUGUUUUACCUGUAAAGUUGAUCGCGACUCCUUAGGGCUGUUGAGAUUAUUGUAUUAUUUUAUUAGUUGAAAAUAUUUGUUCGGGUAUAUCUUGCAAUCUGCUGUAUUUCCUCCUGGCCUGUUCGGUCAUCACUGAAUCUCGAUGGCUUCCAACUUCGUUUGGGCGCUCGGUUUGGAUGUUUGGUGCUUCUGUAUCUUUGCUUAUUAAUUUGCAGUUGAGAAUGAGACGCGAAAUGGUCAUUGGGACUUUGGACGGCACGUAUCUGCAUUCUUUACUGCACCGGACUUUCAAUGAUCGUACUUCAUUUUAGUUUGGAAAAUUGCCUCUGUUCUAGCAUCCUGAGGUAACGAAGUUUGGAGCCUAUGUCCUUUAAUUGUGAAAUGUCUGACAGUGUUUGAAGAUUAGAUGUGAUUAGGG
rnacentral:lncRNA from 1 species